rnacentral:lncRNA from 1 species
GACUAAUCUGUAUUUAUGUUGCAUAAGACUCAUUUAAGAGGAAAGUGCUUUCAUUUUUUUUUAUACACAUAAUUCAAACUCGAGAAUUAUGAAUUAUCCGUCUCAUCCCAACUCUUUUUGGUUCCCCCCCCCCCCCCCCCCCCCCCCCUUUUUUUUUUUUCCCCCCCCCCCCCCCCCCCCCCCCCCCCCCCCCCCCCCCCCCCCCCCCCCCCCCCCCCCCCCCCCCCCCCCCCCCCCCCCCCCCCCCCCCCCCCCCCCCCCCCCCCCCCCCCCCCCCCCCCCCCCCCCCCCCCCCCCCCCCCCCCCCC